UCUAAGUGAAGAUUUUAGGGCUUCUAAAAAUCUGCCACAGAUCCACCUUUCUUUUGUUUGCAUGACUGAAUAAUAGACCAAUCAGUUCAGGCGAGCGAGACUCUAGGAAUGGCUUAUACAAGGAUAUAAUUGGCAGGAGAAAGAAGAGUUGGGAGGAGCUGUUACAACAAAGAAUCCGUUGGAGGACCCUGAGAGUUCAAAAUGUAGUGGCUCUUCAUUGGCUGAGCUGUGAUAAUGUCUCAUUGACUAAGCUUUUGCCAGUGUCCUGACUGGACUGCCCACCAAGUUGCUCUUUCUAGUCUAAGGAUGACCUCAACACUGGUAGAGAGCAGAGAUGAUGCACGCACCUCGAGUGGAAGGAAGUCCUUCCUGAACCAGCGCUCCAGCUGUGCACAUCCCAGAAGACGUCCUCCCCUUACUGGGCUCUUGUGACAUAAUAAGAAAUAUAUAUUUGGUCUUCCUCCCCAGUUUCUGGCACAGAGCUCCUAAAACUCUUGUAAUUUCCUAAGUGAUAAGAGGUGAAGGACCAUCUUUUGUUAUAGUAUUUAGUUUUUGUCCCCGGUUCCUGAAAUAGCUCUUAGAGCAAUAAAGGUGGAAGUAGUAUAUUUUGUUAUUCACAACAAGCCCCUUCCUACCAGAAAUAAGUUUAGGUUAAUGAAGUGAUUUUUUAAAAUCCGCUAAGGACGGGAGCUUUUUGCCAGGGAAACUGACUGAGUGAUUAGAGGAUUGGAACUUUCAGCUCCACCUCCCCACCUCAAGGGAGGGGAGAGUGACUGGAGAUUGAGUUAAUCACUAAUGGCCAACAUUUUAUUCAAUCAUGACUACCAAAUGAAACCUCCAGAACAAUCCUAAUCACAUGUGUUUGAAGUGUCCAGGUGGUGAACACAUUCACAUGCUGGGACUAUGGCAUGUCUGGAGAAGGCUUGGAAGCUCUCUGCUCCUUGCUACAUACCUUGCCCUCUGCAUCUCUUCUGCUUCACUGUUCCUGAGUUGUAUGUUGUAUCACUUUUUUAUAGUUGAUUUACAACUUUUUUUUUAGUUUCAGGUGUACAGCAAAGUGAUUCAGUUACUUAUAUAUAUAUAAGAACCUUCAGAUUCUUUUCCACUAUAGUUAAUUACAAGAUAUUGGAUAUAGUUCCCUGUGCUAUACAGUAAGACCUUGUUGUUUAUCUGAGUUGUAUCUUGUACAAUAAAGUGGUAAAUGUGUU